CUGCUUCCCUUGACUGUUAAGGGGGCAGCCGGCAGGUUAAUAAAAACUUGCUCACCUGACUUUGGUUCUAUUUUUCCUUUCUCUUGGCUGACCUUACAUUCUGGUGCCAAAACCCAGGAAGGGGAUAGACUCUGGCCGGCUCUCGCUCUCUGUCUCUCUCUCUCUCUCUCACUCUCUCUCCCUCUCUCCCUCUCUCCCUCCCUCCCCUAUCACCUAUCUCUUGGCCAAUCUCUCCCCUCCCCUGAACCUGCCGAAGACCCAGAGAAUCUCCUAGACUCUCCCUUUGCUGACGACUUCAUCCACCAUCAAAGCCUCCGCCAGGCUCCUCGGCUUAGCCACUGAAGACUGACGAGGCCCAGGGCCCCUGGCCCCCACUGCCAUCACUGCAUGGAGCCCAGUGUAACUCUACUGGUAGCAGUUUUUACAGGACCCUAUCAGCACCUUCACCCAUGGGACAAUACAAGAUAUGAUGCUGCUCCAGGAAUACCAACGGCUCCAAGAACGGCACUCCCUACCGUCCAGCCUUCCCCCACAACUGUCGCCCUUUCCCAGUAAGAAGCAGCCAGAUGACAACGGUGCCCCUCUUCUAUUACCUAUUAAAAGGCUGGAAUGUUAGGGAGAAACUGCCCCAAGAAAGCUUCUUUGUGCUGCCCACCCCUCCCCCAAUGCUCUGCAAUUCUUCUCCAUGCCGCCCACCCUUCCCCAAGCCUCUUUACAUUUCUAAGCCCUUAUAUAGUCGCUGUGGUGAAGCCAACAGACUUCACUUAUCAGACCUUGCUGCGAUAAGUAAACCCCAAUUACAAACCAACCAGACCGCACAGGGGGAGGUUGUGGGAAGCAUAAACAAACUUUACUACACACACCUGUAAUAAAUGUCAUAAGGUGAUAUGUGGCAAAAUUAACCAGCAAACAACCCUGGGAUGUGGCCAUACCAAAAAACUCCCUCAAACUCCCCUCCCCAAUAUAAACCCCUCAUUCUGUAAGCUUGGUGCUGCUUCCCUUGACUAUUAAGGGGGCAGCCGACAGGUUAAUAAAAACUUG